CUACGGGUGGCACCAGUGAGGAAUAUUGCGCAAUGGACGAAAGUCUGACGCAGCCAUGCCGCGUGCAGGAUGACGGCGCUAUGCGUUGUAAACUGCUUUUAUAUGCCAAGAAACCUUCGGACGUGUCCGAAGCUGACGGUAGCAUAUGAAUAAGCACCGGCUAACUCCGUGCCAGCAGCCGCGGUAAUACGGAGGGUGCGAGAGUUAUCCGGAUUUAUUGGGUUUAAAGGGUCCGUAGGCGGAUCAUUAAGUCAGUGGUGAAAGCCGGCAGCUCAACUGUCGAACUGCCAUUGAUACUGGUGAUCUUGAAUACGGUUGAAGUUGGCGGAAUAGGUCAUGUAGCGGUGAAAUGCUUAGAUAUGACCUAGAACACCGAUUGCGAAGGCAGCCAACUAAGCCGUUAUUGACGCUGAGGGACGAAAGCGUGGGGAGCGAACAGGAUUAGAUACCCGUGUAGUC
rnacentral:rRNA from 1 species